rnacentral:rRNA from 1 species
GACGAACGCUGGCGGCGUGCCUAAUACAUGCAAGUCGAACGCUUCUUUCCUCCCGAGUGCUUGCACUCAAUUGGAAAGAGGAGUGGCGGACGGGUGAGUAACACGUGGGUAACCUACCCAUCAGAGGGGGAUAACACUUGGAAACAGGUGCUAAUACCGCAUAACAGUUUAUGCCGCAUGGCAUAAGAGUGAAAGGCGCUUUCGGGUGUCGCUGAUGGAUGGACCCGCGGUGCAUUAGCUAGUUGGUGGGGUAACGGCUCACCAAGGCCACGAUGCAUAGCCGACCUGAGAGGGUGAUCGGCCACACUGGGACUGAGACACGGCCCAGACUCCUACGGGAGGCAGCAGUAGGGAAUCUUCGGCAAUGGACGAAAGUCUGACCGAGCAACGCCGCGUGAGUGAAGAAGGUUUUCGGAUCGUAAAACUCUGUUGUUAGAGAAGAACAAGGACGUUAGUAACUGAACGUCCCCUGACGGUAUCUAACCAGAAAGCCACGGCUAACUACGUG